rnacentral:rRNA from 1 species
GCCUACGGGACGCAGCAGUGAGGAAUAUUGGUCAAUGGUCGGGAGACUGAACCAGCCAAGCCGCGUGAGGGAUGAAGGUACAGAGUAUCGUAAACCUCUUUUGUCAGGGAACAAAGGCGGGGACGUGUCCCCGGAUGAGUGUACCUGAAGAAAAAGCAUCGGCUAACUCCGUGCCAGCAGCCGCGGUAAUACGGAGGAUGCGAGCGUUAUCCGGAUUUAUUGGGUUUAAAGGGUGCGCAGGCGGUCUGUUAAGUCAGCGGUCAAAACCCGGGGCUCAACCCCGGCCCGCCGUUGAAACUGGCAGG